rfam:Marine metagenome 1096626261687, whole genome shotgun sequence.
UUAAACGAGGAUCGAUUUGUCUGAUUGCAACCUCUAUAAAAAAGUGCUAAAGCAGUAGCU